UAUGUAUGUGUACAUGUCCAUGUGUGUCUAUGUGUGUGCACAUGUACAUGUACAUAC
rnacentral:miRNA from 1 species